GAUGGACUUCAGAAUGCAAGUUUUCCCCAUUCACAUAGGAUGUUUUUAUCUAUUUUGUGGCUGUAUUAUAUUUUUCUUAUAUUACAUGAUAUACUGACUAGCACAUACUUCCAGCAAGCUGUGAUUUGAAUUGGUCAUGGUGCCUGGAAUCAGCGUUUAUCAUUGAAAUGCUGCACAUUAAGAGAUUAACGUCCUUGGCUGCUGGAGGUGUAACUCUGCCUCCAGCAGCAUCAGGGCAAAGUUGGCUAAUGUUAAGUAGUUGCAAAAUUGGUGUCUGGUGCUAGAUAGCCAACAGCAUGCCCCAUCCCUGUCCACCCCUCAGUCUGUCGUCUCUAGAGAUGGCUCUGGGGAUUGACACAACUCUACAGCAGUGACUUCUGUCCAGUUUUUGUCAGGCAUGUAAGGAAAGUACAUAAAACAAAUUAGUCCUUACUUUUGUAUCUUUUUGAGUGUGCUGGAAUUUCAAUGAAAUUCCAACACUUUUACUUAUAUA